GAGUUUGAUCGUGGCUCAGAUUGAACGCUGGCGGCAUGCCUUACACAUGCAAGUCGAACGGCAGCACGGGAGCUUGCUCCUGGUGGGCGAGUGGCGAACGGGUGAGUAAUGCAUCGGAACGUAUCCUGGAGUGGGGGAUAACGUAGCGAAAGUUACGCUAAUACCGCAUAUUCUGUGAGCAGGAAAGCGGGGGACCUUCGGGCCUCGCGCUCUUGGAGCGGCCGAUGUCGGAUUAGCUAGUUGGUGAGGUAAAGGACUCACCAAGGCGACGAUCCGUAGCAGGUCUGAGAGGAUGAUCUGCCACACUGGAACUGAGACACGGUCCA
rnacentral:rRNA from 1 species